UACGGGGGGGGCAAGCGUUGUUCGGAAUUACUGGGCGUAAAGGGCUCGUAGGCGGCCAACUAAGUCAGACGUGAAAUCCCUCGGCUUAACCGGGGAACUGCGUCUGAUACUGGAUGGCUUGAGAUUGGGAGAGGGAUGCGGAAUUCCAGGUGUAGCGGUGAAAUGCGUAGAUAUCAGGAGGAACACCGGUGGCGAAGGCGGUUCUCUGGGCCUUACCUGACGCUGAGGCGACGACAGCGUGGGGGAGCAAACAGG
rnacentral:rRNA from 1 species